GCUACUGGAAUGUGAGCAGAGAUGAUGUCGGCCACUGCCAGGCCAGUGUGCCUCCUUCAUGCGGUUUUUCCUUCCUGCCAGCUGGAUUAUGCAGAUGACUACAAGUCCCUGGGGUUGGCAGAACCACAAGAAAGAAUGUGCAGGGAUGAAGGAGAGCUGCCCAUUGACCUGGAACACACACUCUGGAUUAUUCUGUGAGCAAGAGCUAUUUGAAUCCUGGAACACUGUGGGGAGUGAGGGUUCUGGAUGCCCAUUUGAAUUCUUCUGAAACCAUGCC